GAUGAACGCUGGCGGCGUGCCUAACACAUGCAAGUCGAGCGAAGCACCUUACUUGAUUUCUUCGGGAUGAAAGUAUUGUGACUGAGCGGCGGACGGGUGAGUAACGCGUGGGUAACCUGCCUCAUACAGGGGGAUAACAGUCAGAAAUGGCUGCUAAUACCGCAUAAGCGCACAGUACCGCAUGGUACAGUGUGAAAAACUCCGGUGGUAUGAGAUGGACCCGCGUCUGAUUAGCUGGUUGGUGGGGUAACGGCCCACCAAGGCGACGAUCAGUAGCCGGCCUGAGAGGGUGAACGGCCACAUUGGGACUGAGACACGGCCCAA
rnacentral:rRNA from 1 species